ensembl:lincRNA
ACAAUUAAAUAAUUCAUCAAUAGAAAUUUUAGAAAUAAGAAAGACGGGAAUUAUAUACACCUAUGUUUCUGCACCUUCUUAUGACAAAAUUUAAGUUCUGCCCUUCGGGUUUCUCACCCCAUCCGGUGUGACAUCCGCUGCUUAUUCUGCAAGACAGUCGGGCCGGGAAGCACUUGGGGCCGGGAUGCGGAGGAAGGCCGCGCUCCGGCAAGCUCCCCGCGCUCCGAGCCCGGUUCGCACGGCCCGCCACGUCCUCUCAGGACGUCCGGGUCCGGCCUCCUCCCGCCGCUGUAGAGUGCGGGUCGGGACUCGCGCUCACGAGCAGCGGACUGCGGAGGCUGAGCACCGCUCCCGCGAGGCCGAGGCGCAGGCGCGGACGAGGGCGCCCCGGCCUCCGGCGCCCCCUGCCGCCUCCGCUUGGAACGGCAGCAGACACCACACCCGCGUGUGCCAACCGCGGUCCUAAGAGGAACGCGAGUAAAUGGAAUCAGAUUCGUGCUCUUCUUUCCUCGACUCCCUUCUCUAGGUUUUGUUUGCUUCGCCUUUCCAUGGAGCCAGUGUGGAGAGCGCAAGCUGUGUGCUCCAUGGAGCUUCCCUGUGUGUGGACCUGAUGUCUACGAGAAUGGCGUUCCUGCAUCGUGAUCAGGUUGCUGGAGCUACGUGUAGAAUUCUCAGUGGGCUUCCUUCCUGCCUUUUCUGGCCUUUGAGGGACCUUAUUUCCAGUGAGUUCCCUUUAGCACCUGACCUAGAGGCGACAUCAGCCCGGAGCUUUCCCUGUGUCCAGUUCAAGGCCGCUGACUUUUCAGUGGAUCCAAAGUCUCACAAAAGACAAAGUGCUGUUUCAUCACCUUUAGGGAAGAGGAACCCAGGAGAAACGUUCUGGAGAAAUUCAGUGCCAUCGGUGGGAGCAAGUGAGUACAGAAGAAUGGAGGAAAAGCACAAGACCCACACAGUCUUGGAGGGUGGAGCAGCACUGUCUGUUGUCAAGUGCGGAUCAGAAAUUGUCCACUUUCUGUCGUGGCUGCUGCCUGUUUUCCCCGGAUGUCGGCAGCCAUGAUUUGCAGUUCAGGAUCGUGUUUAUCUGUCCCUUGUUGCAUAACUCAGUGAUGUGACUGAAAUGUAUUGUAAUUAUUAAUAUUGAUGGUCUUGAUGGUCCAUCUUGGACUUGGCUUGUGGAUUAAUUUUUGUGAUUUUUUUUUGGCAUCACUGGAGAUUAAAUGCAGGGCCUUUGCACAGAGCUAGAUCCCCAGAUUUUGUUUUUGAGACAAGAUCUCAUUAAGUUAUUAAAUUGUCCACACUGGGUUCAAACUUGUGAUCCUCCUGCCUCCACCUCCCAUGUACUGUGACUUCUUGACAUUGUGAAUAUGGUGAUCAUGUUUUACUUAUUUUUCUGUGUGACCGUAUUUUUUAGAACGUCAGAUAAUGAAGACGAGGUCAGCUUAUUAUUAUACCAAUGCAAACAUGACCCCAUCAUUGAGAAACAAGGCUAAAAGACUGUGUUAUCAUAAUCACAAUGGAAAGAUACAUCCAACUUGAUUAGAGAGGUAAAUAGGCAAAACAGAACAUGCCCCACAAUAUACAGAAAGAAAUUUGCGUUUGGACAUUGGGGGAGAGCGGAUGUAGAAACACACACGGAGACUGACUCUCACAAGGAAGGCUGCGACAGUUAAAUACGUCUAAGUCAAUCAAAAGAUUUUUGCUUUCCAAAAAAAAUCCGCAUUCAGUCAAAAAUAGUCACUGAAUUGGCAAGGGUGGUCCACAGCAACAAGCAUUAUCCUAUUGGUCACUGAACUGGCAUGGGCGGUCCACAGCAACAAGCNNNNNNNNNNNNNNNNNNNNNNNNNNNNNNNNNNNNNNNNNNNNNNNNNNNNNNNNNNNNNNNNNNNNNNNNNNNNNNNNNNNNNNNNNNNNNNNNNNNNGUCCACAGCAACAAGCGUUAUCCUAUUGGUCACUGAACUGGCAUGGGCGGUCCACAGCAACAAGCGUCAUCCUACUGGUCACCGAACUGGCCCAUUUUGAUUCAGAGAUUGCAACUGAAAUAUCCCGCGGGUGAGCACAGGGGCAUUUCUGGGAGCAAGUGCAUUGGCCCCUUACAAUGCGGAGCUGAUCUUGUCACAUCUCACCGACGAGGCGCUCUGUACAGCAUAUGCCCUUACGUACCACACUGAAUCGGGGCAACAGAACAUUGCCCUUAACUCUUGGCUACUUUGACUUGAAAAGUGGAAGUUUUUCAGACAAUCGUCUUUUUUUUUUUUUUUUUAACCAUCAAAAUGGUUUUAUUUUUGUCAUGGACACAUACAUGACACUGAAAUUUUGUCACUUUAUUUGGUUUCUUUCUCUUUUUUUAUUUUUUUGAGACAGAGUCUUGCUUUUGGAGCCCAGGCUGUCCUUGAACUCACGGCGCUCCUCUUGCCACAUCCUCCCGAGAGCUGGGAUUACAGGGAUGCACCACCAUGCCAGUGUCUUGUUUGAUUUCUUAAACGUACAUUAAAGUAUGUGUUUACGUUUAAGAAAUGUAACACAUUAAAGAAGUCUUGUGCAAACAUAAUUCUUUCUCAAUAUAUUUUCCUUCUUUGUUUCAUACAUAACCUAAUUUACAAAAUCAUAAAAUAAUCAAUUCUUUUUUUAUUCUUUUAAAACAGGAUCUCACUAUGCAGUUCAGGCUGGCCUUGAACUUGCUAUGUAGCCUAGGCUGGCCUUAAACUCACGAUGACCCUCCUGCCUCAGCCUCCUGAGUGCUGGGAUUGCAGCAUGCACCACCACACCUAGAUAAGCUAUCAGCUCUUGAGACCUAGACUUGCACACAAAAUUGCGGGUUUGAGGAGAUGUUUUCUUUGAUUGUAUAAAUACUAUGCAUUAUUUGCUGUGUUUAUUAUCAGUCGAGUGCUUCUCACAAACUCUCACUGUCUCCCACAUUGUUUUGCUAGUAAGAGGUCUCUCGGUUUAAUUGGUAGAGAUGCCAUACUUUUGAAAAGACAAAAUCAAAAUGGUCAAAAGCCAAAACCUUUUUAAAACGGCAGGUAAGAUGCAUAUUUAAAUAUUGCUAAGUCUCACUGAAACCAUUUAGGUAUGUGAACGAAGGAAUGUUUCCGAAGAGUGAAUUCUUGACCAUCAUUUAUGACAGCUAACAAAAUUUUAAACUUAAGAAAUAGUAAACUCUGAUUAAAUUCAUAUUAGCCUUGCAAAAAAUUACAGAGAUUCUUUUGAAGAAACAGAACAAAUUCUAUCCUAGACUUUCUGAAAUUUAUUUUUGAAUCAUUGCUUUGAGUUAAAACUUUAACACAACUGGGCAUGGUGGCACAUACCUAUAAUCUCAGCACUUGGGAGGCUGAGGCAGGAGGAUCUUUCAAGUUGGAGACCAGCCUGGCCUAUAAAGUGAGCUCAAGGCCAGUGUGAACUGCAUAGCAAUACCCUGUCUCAAAAAGACAAAAACAAAAAAAACAAAACAAAACAAAAAAACUUUAACACAAAAGAGUUUUAGAAUGUCAUAAUUUCUGAUACACAUUUCACUGGUUUUUGUUUAAUGACUGCAAUCCUUCUUCAGAAAAUAUGUAUCUAUUGAAACAUACCACCUGGGGCUGGGGAUUUAGCUCAGCGGCAAAGCACCUGCCUGGCAAGUGCAAGGUCGUGAGUUUGGUUCCUGGUACCGGAGAAAAACCAAAAACAAAAUAAAAAAAUUAAAAAAAAGAAACAUACCACCUGCCUAGUGAUUUAUUAAAUAACC